UACAGAGGGUGCAAGCGUUAAUCGGAAUUACUGGGCGUAAAGCGUGCGUAGACGGUUACAUAAGUCGGGCGUGAAAGCCCCGGGCUCAACCUGGGAAUUGCAUUCGAGACUGCGUAGCUAGGGUGCGGAAGAGGGAAGCGGAAUUUCCGGUGUAGCGGUGAAAUGCGUAGAUAUCGGAAGGAACACCAGUGGCGAAAGCGGCUUCCUGGUCCAGCACCGACGUUCAGGCACGAAAGCGUGGGGAGCAAACAGG
rnacentral:rRNA from 1 species